UACGUAGGUGACAAGCGUUGUCCGGAAUCAUUGGGCGUAAAGAGCGUGUAGGCGGCCAGAUAAGUCCGCUGUGAAAUCUCGAGGCUCAACUUCGAGCUGUCGGUGGAAACUGUCUGGCUAGAGUCCGGAAGAGGAGAAUGGAAUUCCUGGUGUAGCGGUGGAAUGCGCAGAUAUCAGGAGGAACACCGGUGGCGAAGGCGGGUCUCUGGGCAGUAACUGACGCUGAGGAGCGAAAGCCAGGGGAGCAAACGGG
rnacentral:rRNA from 1 species